GCGGGUAUAGCUCAGGGGUAGAGCGCAACCUUGCCAAGGUUGAUGUCGAGAGUUCGAAUCUCUUUACCCGCU
rnacentral:tRNA from 1 species